rnacentral:rRNA from 1 species
UACAGAGGUCUCAAGCGUUGUUCGGAUUCAUUGGGCGUAAAGGGUGUGUAGGUGGCGCCGUAAGUCGGGUGUGAAAUUUCGGAGCUUAACUCCGAAACUGCAUUCGAUACUGCCGUGCUUGAGGACUGGAGAGGAGACUGGAAUUUACGGUGUAGCGGUGAAAUGCGUAGAUAUCGUAAGGAAGACCAGUGGCGAAGGCGGGUCUCUGGACAGUUCCUGACGCUGAGGCACGAAGGCCCAGGGGGAGCAAAACGGGG